GCCAUAAACUUUGAUUAUCCGCCAGAGUACUACGAGCUACAGCUUAAAACUCAAAGGACUUGGCGGUGCUUUACACCCCCCUAGAGGAGCCUGUUCUAUAAUCGAUAAUCCCCGAUAAACCUCACCACCUAUUGCCAAUACAGCCUAUAUACCACCGUCCAGCCCGCCCUUUAAAGGGUAAACAGCAGGCAUAAUUAUAAACAUAAAAACGUCAGGUCAAGGUGUAGCAGAUAAGAUGGAAAGAAAUGGGCUACAUUUUCUAACUUAGAAAACACGGAUGGUUCUAUGAAAUAGUUUCUGAAGGAGGAUUUAGCAGUAAAAAGAAAUUAGAAUGUUCUUUUUAAGACGGCAAUAAAGCGCGC
rnacentral:rRNA from 1 species